AAGUCGUAACAAGGUUUCCGUAGGUGAACCUGCGGAAGGAUCAUCAUUUUAUGAGUGGGGGGGUUGUGUAUUUGUUUCGGUUGUGAUUAUGAUUGGGAUAUUUACUGCAACUCCUCCGAUAGACCGCGCACAAGUCAUGUGAAUGUGGGUAGGAUAUUGUGGGUUAUGAUUGCAUGUGUUAUAUGGAUGCAUAUCUAUAUCUAUAAUAUGGAUGCAUAUCUAUAAUCUCGUAAACUACCCAUCUAUCAAAACAACCUUAACAUAUAAAACAUUACAAACAUAUCAGAAUAAUACAACUUUCAACAAUGGAUCUCUUGGCUCUU
rnacentral:misc_RNA from 1 species